UACGGGGGGGGUAAGCGUUGUUCGGAAUUACUGGGCGUAAAGGGCUCGUAGGCGGCCAACUAAGUCAUACGUGAAAUCCCUCAGCUUAACUGGGGAACUGCGUGUGAUACUGGAUGGCUUGGAUUCGGGAGAGGAAUGCGGAAUUCCAGGUGUAGCGGUGAAAUGCGUAGAUAUCUGGAGGAACACCGGUGGCGAAGGCGGCAUUCUGGACCGACAUUGACGCUGAGGAGCGAAAGCCAGGGGAGCAAACGGG
rnacentral:rRNA from 1 species